UCCGGUCGGGAGGACCUCGCCGGAGGCAAGGUGAGCACCUCCUCCUCCUCCUCCAUCAUCUUUGGCCAUUACCUCUUGGGGAUUGUAGCCGGGAAGCCGCCGGACUGAAUGGGGAAAGCCGAACCCUGUUCGGCCUUCUCCUCUUCCGUUCCGGCCAGCCGACGCCGGGCGUGGCAUCGCCGGCACGCCACAGGCCAACGACCAUGGAGCGUCGCUGGCCGUGGGCUGCCUACUGCCGAACCCCCCUUUUCUCCCCUUUCCGCCGGGAAGAAGGAAGAAGAGAGAAAGAGAAAGGGGCUUCCCAUUCCCUUUCUCUUAAUUUAUUUUCCUCUCUCUAGUUGGGUUCCGGGGAGUUCAUUGCUUUGAGGACUCUACAUAGUCUUGGAAAUGCUAGAUCUUAGAGGACCCUUUAGAGGAAUCAAACAGGGGUCCUAGAUUAUCAUAUCUCUUUGAUAAAUUUUAAUGAUGACUUGGUUCUGUAGGGGAACAAUCUAUUGGACGAGAGGACGCGGAGCAGAGUCAUGCGCAUUCCGGUUCAUAGAUCGCCGUGAGGGUGGGUGAUUAGUUGUCUGAGUUUUCAAUAAAGAAGUUACAUGAUGCAUUGAUUUGGACGGGAUGGGUGCAGAGUGCGAGUACCCGAGUCAUUAGUUAGUUGGUUUGUUUAUCUUUCUUUGAUGUUGAUGAACAUUUGAAGAUCUUGUAAUUGAACUAAUUUGUUUAUCUGGUGUGGACAUGUUGGAUUUGUCUAUUUGAAUUACUAAAUUAAUUGUGGAUUUA